ACGAACGCUGGCGGCGUGCCUAAUACAUGCAAGUAGCACGCUGAAGGCGGAGCUUGCUCUUCUGGAUGAGUUGCGAACGGGUGAGUAACGCGUAGGUAACCUGCCUGGUAGCGGGGGAUAACUAUUGGAAACGAUAGCUAAUACCGCAUAACAGUAGAUGUUGCAUGACAUUUACUUAAAAGGUGCAAUUGCAUCACUACCAGAUGGACCUGCGUUGUAUUAGCUAGUUGGUGGGGUAACGGCUCACCAAGGCGACGAUACAUAGCCGACCUGAGAGGGUGAUCGGCCACACUGGGACUGAGACACGGCCCAGACUCCUACGGGAGGCAGCAGUAGGGAAUCUUCGGCAAUGGACGGAAGUCUGACCGAGCAACGCCGCGUGAGUGAAGAAGGUUUUCGGAUCGUAAAGCUCUGUUGUAAGAGAAGAACGAGUGUGAGAGUGGAAAGUUCACACUGUGACGGUAUCUUACCAGAAAGGGACGGCUAACUACGUG
rnacentral:rRNA from 1 species